UUAAGCGACUAAGCGUACACGGUGGAUGCCCUGGCAGUCAGAGGCGAUGAAGGACGUGCUAAUCUGCGAAAAGCGUCGGUAAGGUGAUAUGAACCGUUAUAACCGGCGAUGUCCGAAUGGGGAAACCCAGUGCAAUUCGUUGCACUAUCGUUAACUGAAUACAUAGGUUAACGAGGCGAACCGGGGGAACUGAAACAUCUAAGUACCCCGAGGAAAAGAAAUCAACCGAGAUUCCCCCAGUAGCGGCGAGCGAACGGGGAGCAGCCCAGAGUCUGAAUCAGCUUGUGUGUUAGUGGAACGGUCUGGAAAGUCCGACGGUACAGGGUGAUAGUCCCGUACACCAAAAUGCACAGGCUGUGAACUCGAAGAGUAGGGCGGGACACGUGGUAUCCUGUCUGAAUAUGGGGGGACCAUCCUCCAAGGCUAAAUACUCCUGACUGACCGAUAGUGAACCAGUACCGUGAGGGAAAGGCGAAAAGAACCCCGGCGAGGGGAGUGAAAAAGAACCUGAAACCGUGUACGUACAAGCAGUGGGAGCACCUUCGGGUGUGACUGCGUACCUUUUGUAUAAUGGGUCAGCGACUUAUAUUCUGUAGCAAGGUUAACCGUAUAGGGGAGCCGCAGGGAAACCGAGUCUUAACUGGGCGUUAAGUUGCAGGGUAUAGACCCGAAACCCGGUGAUCUAGCCAUGGGCAGGUUGAAGGUUGGGUAACACUAACUGGAGGACCGAACCGACUAAUGUUGAAAAAUUAGCGGAUGACUUGUGGCUGGGGGUGAAAGGCCAAUCAAACCGGGAGAUAGCUGGUUCUCCCCGAAAGCUAUUUAGGUAGCGCCUCGUGAACUCAUCUUCGGGGGUAGAGCACUGUUUCGGCUAGGGGGUCAUCCCGACUUACCAACCCGAUGCAAACUACGAAUACCGAAGAAUGUUAUCACGGGAGACACACGGCGGGUGCUAACGUCCGUCGUGAAGAGGGAAACAACCCAGACCGCCAGCUAAGGUCCCAAAGUCAUGGUUAAGUGGGAAACGAUGUGGGAAGGCACAGACAGCCAGGAUGUUGGCUUAGAAGCAGCCAUCAUUUAAAGAAAGCGUAAUAGCUCACUGGUCGAGUCGGCCUGCGCGGAAGAUGUAACGGGGCUAAACCAUGCACCGAAGCUGCGGCAGCGACACUAUGUGUUGUUGGGUAGGGGAGCGUUCUGUAAGCCUGCGAAGGUGUGCUGUGAGGCAUGCUGGAGGUAUCAGAAGUGCGAAUGCUGACAUAAGUAACGAUAAAGCGGGUGAAAAGCCCGCUCGCCGGAAGACCAAGGGUUCCUGUCCAACGUUAAUCGGGGCAGGGUGAGUCGACCCCUAAGGCGAGGCCGAAAGGCGUAGUCGAUGGGAAACAGGUUAAUAUUCCUGUACUUGGUGUUACUGCGAAGGGGGGACGGAGAAGGCUAUGUUAGCCGGGCGACGGUUGUCCCGGUUUAAGCAUGUAGGCUGAUUGUCCAGGCAAAUCCGGAUAAUCAAGGCUGAGGUGUGAUGACGAGGCACUACGGUGCUGAAGUAACAAAUGCCCUGCUUCCAGGAAAAGCCUCUAAGCAUCAGGUAACAUUAAAUCGUACCCCAAACCGACACAGGUGGUCAGGUAGAGAAUACCAAGGCGCUUGAGAGAACUCGGGUGAAGGAACUAGGCAAAAUGGUGCCGUAACUUCGGGAGAAGGCACGCUGUGUGUAGGUGAAGUCCCUGCGGAUGGAGCUGAGACCAGUCGAAGAUACCAGCUGGCUGCAACUGUUUAUUAAAAACACAGCACUGUGCAAACACGAAAGUGGACGUAUACGGUGUGACGCCUGCCCGGUGCCGGAAGGUUAAUUGAUGGGGUUAUCCGUAAGGAGAAGCUCUUGAUCGAAGCCCCGGUAAACGGCGGCCGUAACUAUAACGGUCCUAAGGUAGCGAAAUUCCUUGUCGGGUAAGUUCCGACCUGCACGAAUGGCGUAAUGAUGGCGCUGUUCCACCCGAGACUCAGUGAAAUUGAACUCGCUGUGAAGAUGCAGUGUACCCGCGGCAAGACGGAAAGACCCCGUGAACCUUUACUAUAGCUUGACACUGAACAUUGAGCCUUGAUGUGUAGGAUAGGUGGGAGGCUUUGAAGCGUGGACGCCAGUCUGCGUGGAGCCAACCUUGAAAUACCACCCUUUAAUGUUUGAUGUUCUAACGUUGGCCCCUGACCGGGGUUGCGGACAGUGUCUGGUGGGUAGUUUGACUGGGGCGGUCUCCUCCCAAAGCGUAACGGAGGAGCACGAAGGUUAGCUAAUCCUGGUCGGACAUCAGGAGGUUAGUGCAAUGGCAUAAGCUAGCUUGACUGCGAGCGUGACGGCGCGAGCAGGUGCGAAAGCAGGUCAUAGUGAUCCGGUGGUUCUGAAUGGAAGGGCCAUCGCUCAACGGAUAAAAGGUACUCCGGGGAUAACAGGCUGAUACCGCCCAAGAGUUCAUAUCGACGGCGGUGUUUGGCACCUCGAUGUCGGCUCAUCACAUCCUGGGGCUGAAGUAGGUCCCAAGGGUAUGGCUGUUCGCCAUUUAAAGUGGUACGCGAGCUGGGUUUAGAACGUCGUGAGACAGUUCGGUCCCUAUCUGCCGUGGGCGCUGGAGAAUUGAGGGGGGCUGCUCCUAGUACGAGAGGACCGGAGUGGACGCAUCACUGGUGUUCGGGUUGUCAUGCCAAUGGCACUGCCCGGUAGCUAAAUGCGGAAGAGAUAAGUGCUGAAAGCAUCUAAGCACGAAACUUGCCCCGAGAUGAGUUCUCCCUGAGACUUUAAGUCUCCUGAAGGAACGUUAAAGACGAUGACGUUGAUAGGCCGGGUGUGUAAGCGCAGCGAUGCGUUGAGCUAACCGGUACUAAUGAACCGUGAGGCUUAACCU
rnacentral:rRNA from 1 species